GAUGAACGCUGGCGGCGUGCUUAACACAUGCAAGUCGAACGAGAAAUGUAGACGGAAACCUUCGGGCGGAAGCCUUCAUUUCGAGUGGCGGACGGGUGAGUAACGCGUGGGUAACCUGCCUCAUACAGGGGGAUAACAGUUGGAAACGACUGUCAAUACCGCAUAAGACCACAGCAUCGCAUGAUGCGGGGGUAAAAACUCCGGUGGUAUGAGAUGGACCCGCGUUCGAUUAGCCAGUUGGCGGGGUAACGGCCCACCAAAGCGACGAUCGAUAGCCGAUCUGAGAGGAUGACCGGCCACAUUGGGACUGAGACACGGCCCAAACUCCUACGGGAGGCAGCAGUGGGGAAUAUUGCACAAUGGGGGAAACCCUGAUGCAGCGACGCCGCGUGAGUGAAGAAGUACUUCGGUAUGUAAAGCUCUAUCAGCAGGGAAGAAAAUGACGGUACCUGAGUAAGAAGCCCCGGCUAACUACGUG
rnacentral:rRNA from 1 species